GAAAAAUAGAAAAACAAAACUAAAGCCUGACCUCAGCCGAGACCAGUUGAACUGGAAGCACGGAAUCCAGUUUGAGCAAGGAUCUCACUAAAUCAGUUUAUUGGAAGUUCUCCGCCCUUGGUAUCUGACCAUCCUUGGUAUUUUAUCACCUUGGCCUGCCUUCAGCAAGAAUUCUGUUGAGUUGGUCUACAAUCCCCCUUGGCGGAUUCUUAACCACUGCACCACCAGGGAAGUCCAGCAGGCCCUACUCUGAAGCAAAUUCUAGAUGUGACCACAGGACCUCCCGAGCCAGGAAUCAUAGAAUGAACUGUUCUGACUGUGACGUGCGGGAACGGAACACAAAGCCAAAGUUCCUGGCAGCAGUGACCAGGGCACCUUCAUCUGGGGACUGAGCCUGGUAAGUCAGCUCACCUGGCAGGAGAGAAGAGAGCAGCCAGAGCCCAUAGAGAUGUGCAGAUGAAGU